rnacentral:tRNA from 1 species
GUCACUUUGCCGGAGUGGUUAACGGGAUCGCCUGCUAUCAGCCAUUGCUUUGGGUUGGGCUUUCAGCGGUUGGGCUUUGCCCGCGAGUGUUCGAAUCGCUCAGGUGACG